rnacentral:rRNA from 1 species
AUAAGAUUGUAGUAUCGCAUGAUAUAGCAAUUAAAGGUAGCAAUUCGCUAUAAGAUGACCCGCGUCGCAUUAGCUAGUUGGUGAGGUAAUGGCUCACCAAGGCGACGAUGCGUAGCCGACCUGAGAGGGUGAUCGGCCACAUUGGGACUGAGACACGGCCCAGACUCCUACGGGAGGCAGCAUG